rnacentral:rRNA from 1 species
GAUGAACGCUGGCGGCGUGCCUAAUACAUGCAAGUCGAGCGAACGGACGAGAAGCUUGCUUCUCUGAUGUUAGCGGCGGACGGGUGAGUAACACGUGGAUAACCUACCUAUAAGACUGGGAUAACUUCGGGAAACCGGAGCUAAUACCGGAUAAUAUUUUGAACCGCAUGGUUCAAAAGUGAAAGACGGUCUUGCUGUCACUUAUAGAUGGAUCCGCGCUGCAUUAGCUAGUUGGUAAGGUAACGGCUUACCAAGGCAACGAUGCAUAGCCGACCUGAGAGGGUGAUCGGCCGCACUAGAGCGGGGACACGGUCCAGACUCCUACGGGAGGCAGCAGUAGGGAAUCUUCCGCAAUGGGCGAAAGCCUGACGGAGCAACGCCGCGUGAGUGAUGAAGGUCUUCGGAUCGUAAAACUCUGUUAUUAGGGAAGAACAUAUGUGUAAGUAACUGUGCACAUCUUGACGGUACCUAAUCAGAAAGCCACGGCUAACUACGUG